AAUGAACGCUGGCGGCAGGCCUAACACAUGCAAGUCGAACGGGAUCUUCGGAUCUAGUGGCGGACGGGUGAGUAACGCGUGGGAACGUACCCUUUGCUUCGGAAUAGCCUCGGGAAACUGGGAGUAAUACCGAAUGUGCCCUUCGGGGGAAAGAUUUAUCGGCAAAGGAUCGGCCCGCGUUGGAUUAGCUAGUUGGUGGGGUAAUGGCCCACCAAGGCGACGAUCCAUAGCUGGUUUGAGAGGAUGGCCAGCCACACUGGGACUGAGACACGGCCCAGACUCCUACGGGAGGCAGCAGUGGGGAAUCUUAGACAAUGGGGGCAACCCUGAUCUAGCCAUGCCGCGUGAGUGAUGAAGGCCUUAGGGUUGUAAAGCUCUUUCGCUGGGGAAGAUAAUGACUGUACCCAGUAAAGAAGCCCCGGCUAACUCCGUGCCAGCCGCCGCAGUAAGAC
rnacentral:rRNA from 1 species